AGUGAACGCUGGCGGUAGGCCUAACACAUGCAAGUCGAGCGGCAGCACAGUAAGAGCUUGCUCUUACGGGUGGCGAGUGGCGGACGGGUGAGGAAUACAUCGGAAUCUACUUUUUCGUGGGGGAUAACGUAGGGAAACUUACGCUAAUACCGCAUACGACCUACGGGUGAAAGCAGGGGAUCUUCGGACCUUGCGCGAUUGAAUGAGCCGAUGUCGGAUUAGCUAGUUGGCGGGGUAAAGGCCCACCAAGGCGACGAUCCGUAGCUGGUCUGAGAGGAUGAUCAGCCACCUGGGAACUGAGACACGGUCCAGACUCCCACGGGAGGCAGAAGGGGGAAAUAUUGGAAAAGGGGCGAAAGCCUGACCCAGCCAUACCGCGGGGGUGAAGAAGGCCUGCGGGUGGUAAAGCCCUUUUUUUGGGAAAAAAAAGCAGCAGGUUAAAACCCCGCUUUUCUGACGGGCCCCAAAAAAAAAGCACCGGCAAACUUCGG
rnacentral:rRNA from 1 species